GAUGAACGCUGGCGGCGUGCUUAACACAUGCAAGUCGAACGGAAAGGCCCAAGCUUGCUUGGGUACUCGAGUGGCGAACGGGUGAGUAACACGUGGGUGAUCUGCCCUGCACUUCGGGAUAAGCCUGGGAAACUGGGUCUAAUACCGGAUAGGACCACUUCUUGGAUGUUGUGGUGGAAAGUUUUUUCGGUGUGGGAUGAGCUCGCGGCCUAUCCGCUUGUUGGUGGGGUAAUGGCCUACCAAGGCGUCGACGGGUAGCCGGCCUGAGAGGGUGUACGGCCACAUUGGGACUGAGAUACGGCCCAGACUCCUACGGGAGGCAGCAGUGGGGAAUAUUGCACAAUGGGCGCAAGCCUGAUGCAGCGACGCCGCGGGGGGGAUGACGGCCUUCGGGUUGUAAACUCCUUUCGCUAGGGACGAAGCGUUUUGUGACGGUACCUGGAGAAGAAGCACCGGCUAACUACGUG
rnacentral:rRNA from 1 species